UACGGAGGAUCCAAGCGUUAUCCGGAUUCAUUGGGUUUAAAGGGUGCGUAGGCGGCCUGAUAAGUCAGCGGUGAAAUCCCACGGCUCAACUGUGGAACUGCCGUUGAUACUGUCAGUCUUGAGUACAGAUGAUGUGGGCGGAAUAUGACAUGUAGUGGUGAAAUACUUAGAUAUGUCAUAGAACACCGAUUGCGAAGGCAGCUCACAAAACUGUCACUGACGCUGAUGCACGAAAGCGUGGGGAUCAAACAGG
rnacentral:rRNA from 1 species